GAUGAACGCUGGCGGCGUGCUUAACACAUGCAAGUCGAACGAAGCAUUUGCGACAGAUUUUUUCGGAAUGAAGUUGCUUAUGACUGAGUGGCGGACGGGUGAGUAACGCGUGGGUAACCUGCCUUGUACUGGGGGAUAGCAGCUGGAAACGGCUGGUAAUACCGCAUAAGCGCACAAUGUUGCAUGACAUGGUGUGAAAAACUCCGGUGGUAUAAGAUGGACCCGCGUCUGAUUAGCUAGUUGGUGAGAUAACAGCCCACCAAGGCGACGAUCAGUAGCCGACCUGAGAGGGUGACCGGCCACAUUGGGACUGAGACACGGCCCAGACUCCUACGGUAGGCAGCAGUGGGGAAUAUUGCACAAUGGAGGAAACUCUGAUGCAGCGACGCCGCGUGAGUGAAGAAGUAAUUCGUUAUGUAAAGCUCUAUCAGCAGGGAAGAUAGUGACGGUACCUGACUAAGAAGCUCCGGCUAAAUACGUG
rnacentral:rRNA from 1 species